CGCGCCGGGACUCGGCGCCCGCGCUGGCCGCCGAGCUGGUGGCGCUGGGCUUCAUACACGAGGCCGACCGCGAAAGGAUUUGCUGCCUAAUGGAGGAAUCGCUCCGCAACUGCUUCGGACAAGUACCGCGCGCGCCGCAACACGUCGCCAGCUAGUAACACACACUGAAAAGUCCGCCGACCCACUGUACGUGAACUGUGAACACCGCACGUGAGCCUUCAAAUAUAUGUCCGCGAGUACUGUAGAUCGAAAUCUCGAUAGUGUAGUAUCGAAACGCGUAUUUGUAGCUAAAAAGUAAAACUUAGACAAAUAUUUUAGAGAUCAUAAAAUUUUGUAUGUUGACUUGCGUAAAUUAUUAAGUCUAUAAUUUAUAUGAACUCUCGUUAUGGGUAAGUUUUUAAAUUUUGUUUUAAAUUGGUACUAAACAAAUACAUAUCUGUGUUGAACUUGUCAGUUACUGUAUUAUUUUUACACGUAUGCUGUUUGUAAACUUACGGUUCAAAUACGCUUCCCUGUGGAACACCAAUAAUUUUUUUCGUUUGUCUCACAUCACCGUCACGUACGGCAAGCGUCUCGGGUCGGUCGGACGAAAUAAACAUACAUACACUACACAAUAUUACUGAUCGGAUAGUAUUUAUAAUAUUACGUCGGGACUUGUCGCUGGCAUUUAGAUAUUCUACGAAUUUUAGAUUUUACUAUUAAAGGUCCCGGCGUCUAAUGGCCUGUAGCAUUUCUUUGAAAUUCGGAACUUAGCUUUUAACGAUGUUCUACCGAGGAGCUCCGCGCGCUCCGGUGUAUUAUAGUUUAGAUUAUACGCAUAUAUUAUUAAAUAAAAUUGUCUUAUGAAAGAGAUUUAAUAUCGAGAAUAUGUAUUUUUGCAUACGAAUGAUUUGUAAUCGAUUGGUCGAAUCGAUGAUGUAAAAUCGAUUUCUUUUUGUUGAUAGUUUUAGCUAUUAACGCGUCGUGACCGGUAAUGUUAAAAACUCGUUUACAUUCUAAACUAAUGUUUAAAACAUAAAUACGACGAUUUUAACAAAGUCACGAGUCACGAGACGUUUUUAUCGGAGGUAUCGGAGUCUGUAAAUGAUGAGAUCACUAAUGUCUCGGGCGAUGUACCGGGCGAGCUCUACGCACUACGCUGUUCCCCGUAGUGAUGUCGCUUAUCGAAACUAAUACUUAUAUAGUUGUAUGAUACAGUUCUAAGGCUCUGCCCUUCCGCAUAGCGGUCGCCCACCGUACAUCGUCGUGUUUAAUGCAUUUCGCCUCCGUGAGACCUGUUUGCUAGUCGAAAAUGAAUCUAAAUCCGAGUAACCACAACGUUAUUUUGUAUAAAUUUGAUACGCUUUUAACGGAAAUUGUUAAAAAUAACGUCACCCUAAGGAACAUUGUGUAAAUUGUAAAAUAAAAAAAAGGGGGAAAAUCAAUUUUUUUUGAAUGUGUUGGUGUAAUAAAACACCGACGGUCACGGGUUCAAUUCCCGCACAUAGUAGAUAUUUGUGUGUAUACAAAUAUUUA
rnacentral:misc_RNA from 1 species